CUAAGCACACUGUUGGUUAUGUGUGCCCAAGCAUUGAGGCAGUCAAAGUAGGCAAAUCCGCUUUGAUAAUGCUGGGAUGUGAUGGGGAGCGAAAUUUAGUAGCGAAGUAGCUGAUUUCACACUGUCAAGAAAAGUCUCUAUCGAGGUUAAAGGUACCCGUACCGCAAACCGACACAGGUGGGUGAGGAGAGUAUCCUAAGGCCAGCGAGAGAACUGUUGUUAAGGAACUCGGCAAAAUGACCCCGUAACUUAGGGAUAAGGGGUGCCACCAUCAGGUGGCCGCAGAGAAUAGGCCCAAGCGACUGUUUACCAAAAACAUAGGUUUCUGCUAAGUCGCAAGACGAUGUAUAGGAGCUGACGCCUGCCCGGUGCUGGAAGGUUAAGGGGAUCUGUUAGAGCAAUCGAAGCAGUGAACUUAAGCCCCAGUAAACGGCGGCCGUAACUAUAACGGUCCUAAGGUAGCGAAAUUCCUUGUCGGGUAAGUUCCGACCCGCACGAAAGGCGUAACGAUUUGGGCACUGUCUCAACAACAGACUCGGUGAAAUUGUAAUUCCGGUGAAGAUGCCGGAUACCUGCGACAGGACGGAAAGACCCCAUGGAGCUUUACUGUAGCUUGACAUUGGGUCUUGGUACUACAUGUACAGGAUAGGUGGGAGGCUUUGAAACCAGGACGCCAGUUUUGGCGGAGCCAUCCUUGGGAUACCACCCUUGUAGUACUGGGACUCUAACCAUAGGCCAUGAAUCUGGUCUUGGGACACUGUCAGGUGGGCAGUUUGACUGGGGCGGUCGCCUCCCAAAAGGUAACGGAGGCGCUCAAAGGUUCUCUCAGUACGGUCGGAAAUCGUACGUAGAGUGUAAAGGCAAAAGAGAGCUUGAUUGCAAGACAUACAGGUCGAGCAAGGAUGAAAAUCGGACUUAGUGAUCCGGUGGUUCUGCGUGGAAGGGCCAUCGCUCAACGGAUAAAAGCUACCCUGGGGAUAACAGGCUUAUCUCCCCCAAGAGUCCACAUCGACGGGGAGGUUUGGCACCUCGAUGUCGGCUCAUCACAUCCUGGGGCUGUAGUAGGUCCCAAGGGUUGGGCUGUUCGCCCAUUAAAGUGGUACGCGAGCUGGGUUCAGAACGUCGUGAGACAGUUCGGUCCCUAUCCGUCGCA
rnacentral:rRNA from 1 species